GGAAAACAUCCCACCUGUGUGACACCACGUAGAAGAGAGGCUAUAUAAGCACUUCAAAGAGGAAAACACCAAGAGCCUUGGAAUUCAGACUCUGUGGAGGUGGCUUGAGCUUUUCAUCCUGGUGACCACAGACCUGGAAACAAACUAAAGCCGGACACAUACUAUGGACACCAAGGGCUGUACAACAACCAAUUCUCCUUCGACCCCAUGUCAAAACUGCUCUAGGAUUACAAAUGUUAGUACCAUCUCUUCUAACAACGGCUGCCAUCCUGGUGGCCUUACAGUCAACAAAUGUCAACCAGCUGGCCACGUUCUCAGAAUUCCCUGGGACCAGGGCUGCCAACCCACUCCUCGCUUUUGUCGCAAGCCCAUCUACCUAAUGAACAACUUCAAUGCCCAUUUUUCUCUGGAUGACUGCAGCUGGUAUGGUGAAGGCAUCAACAGUAAUGAGAAGGAGACCAUGCAAAUCUUGAAUGAGCGCCUUGCUAACUACCUGCAAAAGGUGCGAAUGCUAGAACGAGAGAAUGCUGAACUGGAAUCUAAAAUCCAGGAAGAAAGUAACAAAGAGCUCCCUGUUCUAUGUCCUGAUUACCUGUCUUACUACACUACCAUUGAGGUGCUCCAGCAGAAGAUCUUGUGUACCAAGGCCGAGAAUUCCAGACUGGUCUCGCAAAUUGACAACACCAAACUGACUGCAGAUGACUUGAGAGCCAAAUAUGAAGCUGAGGUGUCUCUACGCCAGCUGGUAGAGUCAGAUGCCAAUGGCCUCAAGCAGAUCCUGAAUGUGCUGACCCUGGGCAAGGCCGACCUAGAAGCACAAGUCCAGUCUCUGAAAGAGGAGCUCCUUUGCCUCAAGAACAACCACAAAGAGGAAAUCAAUUCUUUACAGUGUCAGCUUGGGGAGAGACUUGACAUUGAAGUGACUGCUGCCCCUUCUGCUGACCUAAACCAGGUUCUACAAGAAAUGAGAUGUCAAUAUGAGUCCAUCAUGGAGACAAACCGCAAAGAUGUGGAACAGUGGUUCAACACGCAGAUAGAGAAGCUGAAUCAACAAGUGGUGACCAGCUCUCAACAGCAGCAAUGCUGCCAAAAGGAGAUCAUAGAACUGAGACGCAGUGUGAACACUCUGGAGGUUGAACUGCAGGCCCAGCAUCGAAUGAGAGAUUCCCAAGAGUGCAUCCUAACGGAGACAGAGGCUCGCUACACGGCCUUGCUGACCCAGAUCCAGAGUCUGAUUGAUAACCUGGAGGCUCAGCUGGCAGAGAUCCGGUGUGCCCUGGAAAGACAGAACCAAGAAUACAAGAUCCUGCUGGACACCAAGUCCCGGCUGGAGUGUGAGAUUACCACAUACCGCAGCCUUCUGGAGAGCUCGGAUGGCAAGCGUCCCUGUUACUCACGUGCCACCAAAUGUGAGCCUUCCCCUUGGACAUCUUGUAAGUCCGGAGCCAUAGAAAGCACGGCCCCAGCUUGCACAUCCUCAUCCCCCUGCAGCUUAAAGGAGCACUGCAGUGCCUGUGGACCCCUGUCCCGGAUACUGGUUAAAAUUUGCACCAUCACCAAGGAGAUUAAGGAUGGGAAGGUCAUUUCUUCUUACGAGCAUGUGCAGCCUUGUUUCAUCAUCAGACCUGCCAAAGUCUAACAUCCCAAGGUGAUGAAAAUGACCCACAUUUAUGAAACAGAGGCCAAUACAUGCUCCUGCCAGAGAGGUUUAAGAAAACUCCCCAGUCCCUUAAGGGAAUGGGAGUUUGUUCUGAUUGUUUGACAAGGAACAUUUAGCUGGAAUUCUCAAGAAAUAACCCUUCUUCCCCUCCCUGUGAAGAGUGACAAAGAAAAACAUAGCUUAAAUUCCUGCUUCAAUCUAUCCAUCAGAGUAAAUGGACAUAAUAUCCACACAUUUUGCAGAAAAGCAAUAGUGAAUAA